ACUCGAAAACAGCACUUGUUGCCAUGACAAUAAGGAACAGGAUCCAGUGUCCGCUUCCCUUUUUAGUCGGCCGAGUCUAGAGCAGCUGUCUGGGAUUUCAUUAAAGGUAAAACCAGACUCCAAACCCGAUGUCAGUCCACCAUUACGCUCGGCAUUCCCGAACGGUGGGAAACGUCGAUUUAUCAUAAUGGAAAUCCCUCUUUUGAGUGCCUGACGGAGAUAUUUAAAUCGGAAUGCAGUCGGCCACGGCGGGCCAAGGCUAUGGUGACUCCGCGGGUUCAGAGGUGCAGGUGUGCUUCCCCAGUGUGCAGGCCUCAGUGCUGGACAGCCUGAAUCGGCAGCGUGAAGAAGGCCAUCUCUGCGACCUCUCCAUCCACGUUCAGGGCCAGGUGUUCAAGGCCCAUCGGUGUGUGCUGGCUGCAUCGUCACCUUACUUCCAUGACCAGGUGCUGCUGAAGAACAUGUCCACUGUCUCCAUCCCAGCCGUCAUGGACCCGCUGGCCUUUGAGAGCGUCCUCAGUUGCGCUUACACCGGCCAGCUGCGAAUGCUUCGCGAAGACAUCGUUAACUACCUCACCGUUGGCAGUGUGCUUCAAAUGUGGCACAUUGUGGACAAAUGCACUGAGCUCCUCAAAGAGGGCAGGGGAGGUUCCAGUGGACCUCAGGGAUCCAGAGACAAGGAGAGCGCAGGGCAGAGCGGCGGCGCCAACAAGAUCGCCCAAGCCGACGGAGGAGACGCACCUUCGACUCCUCAACCUCCCAGCCGACCGUCCUUCAGCGAGAGCCAGUCCCCGAGCAGCACCAAUUACUUCAGUCCUAGAGAUGCAAACUUUGGCGGGGCAAUGAUGACCACUGGAGCAGUAGGAGAGGGUGCCGUACACUCCACCCCAACCUACUGCAUGCCCUCCGGCGGAGAGGAAGGUUUUAUGAUUGAAGAAGAUGAAGAAGAUGACGACGAGCUCUUGUUUCACAGGAAGAGAGAUCAAGGAGGCAAGCAGAAGUGCGCAACCUCUGCAUCCGGUCAGGAGGUUGGGGUGAGCGACAGUUUUGGAGUUUCGUCGUAUCAAGAUGGAGAUUCCUCACCACCGCAGAAGCGGCCGUCGUACAGUCAGCCGAGCAUCAUGCCAAGAAAACAGUGGGUGGUGGUAAAGACGGAGCACUCGAGAGAAGACGAUCUGAUCGUGGUGUCCGGAGGAGAGGAAGGAGGGGAGGAUGAAGAGGAACGAGAGAUGGAGAUGGUCAGAGUGAGGGACAGGACAUUUAACAUAUCAAAUGUUAGGACCCUCUCUGGACUCAGAGAAGAUGCUGAAAUGGAGGCACAGGCUGACUAUUGCCAGUCCUCGGAAGACUACCUCAAGUUUGAGAGGGGUUUGAUCGACCAGACGUCCUCUCAACAGCCUCCUGGGAAUCCCGCUCAAUGCUCCAGUAGGGCCGUGUCCACCCUGCUCGGCUCGGUUCAGUCGACGGCCGCCAGAGCUCAGCUCUUCCCUCUGGACAUGCAGGGAAACCAGAUUCUCCUGUAUAAUCAAGCCGCCCUAGAGUCAACAUCUCCAUUAGGGCUCACAGGAGGCAUGUCCGGGGUGUCUCUAAAAGGGAGCCUCGAACACGGAGCGGUACAUUUACCCGGCCAAAGUGCAUUGGGUAGCGGGAUGGAAGGAUUAGACGGCAGCGCAGCUGGCAAUUCAGGCAAGGUCUUCAUGUGUCAUUGUGGGAAGACGUUCACACACAAGAGCAUGCGGGACCGGCACAUCAACAUGCACCUGGACCUGCGGCCCUUCCACUGCCCCGUCUGCGCCAAAAAGUUCAAGAUGAAGCAUCACCUCACCGAGCACAUGAAGACCCACACCGGUCUGAAACCCUAUGACUGCCACGGCUGUGGUAAGAAGUUCAUGUGGCGCGACAGCUUCAUGAGGCAUCGCUCGCAUUGCGAGAGGCGCGGCAGGGCCAAUGGAAGAUCGGGAUCCGAAGGGUCGGUCAUCUCUCCGCCACAUCACAUGAAGCUCCCGUCAGCCAACGAGACCAAUCAAGGUAGCGAUGGCGCCAGAAGUGGGAUCCCCGUUUUGUCUCCGCAACAUUCCAUGAGCAGCAAUGGCGUCUCUUGUCUCAAUAUGGCCGCCUCUGGGCCUCUUCUAGGAAUCAGUUCUCAAAGCGGGCCGCAUGGCCUUGGUUCUGGAGUUCUGGGCAUUGGUGGCAAUCGUAGCGGGUGUGUGGAAGAAGUCUGUGAGGGAAACGUUGAUAAAAGCAGCGUCACAUAAGAAAUUUGCCUGAGAUCACCGUCCCGCAAAACCAGAACACUUGUCUUUGAUUUUAAAGGACUAUGUGCACAGUUGUCUGAUUCUUUACCUCAUGUCGGCGAGUUCGCCAUACACGAUGUCCCAUUUGUAUUUGAAAAUAAUACCAAUGACCAAAUGCCCAUUGCUAGCUCACGUCGAUGGUGACUGUCGAAACCGUAUCCCGGCCAGGAAUAUGGAUUAGUUGCCAUCACGUUCAAGCUGCCUCACUAGCACAGAAGAUUCGUUCACUGUUGCUCUGAAGUGCCAUUCUGUUAUUAUGCUGUACGAUAUUAUGUUCUACAGAGUUGUACAUUACAGUAACUCAUUUGGUCCAUUCUUGGUGUGAAGUUUUAUUGUACUGUCACCCAACUAUAUACAGUAUAUUCACUCUCAAAGGUUUUAAUGUUGUAAUUGCUUAAAUAGGAGACAAGAAUAUAACUCUGCACUUUGGUUUCUUAAGGCCCAUUCAUACCAAUAACAAUAACUAUAACGAUAACUAUAAUGGCUCAUUCGUAAAAAUGGCGAUAAUCAUAAAGGCUUGUUUGCAAAAAGGGACGAUAACUAUAAAGGUCCGUUCACAGCACAACGGACAAUAACUAUAAUGAUAACUCUAAAGGUCCGUUCACAGCACAACGGACAAUAACUAUAACUCUAAAGGCUUGUUCGCAAAAAGGACAAUAACUAUAAAGGAUUAUUCACAAAAAAGGAUGAUAACUACAGCGAUAACUAUAAAGGUACAUUCACACAAAGGACAGUGAAUAUAACAAUAACUAUAAAAGCUUGACAGCCAAUCAGAAUCCAUUCAACUU